rnacentral:ncRNA from 1 species
AAUCCUGCCUAGUAAGGUAAACCCACACCACUAGUAACGAGUCUUGGAGCGAAACUGGUAACAGUUAGUUUAAGCGUAGACAGUUAGGUACUAGGGUUAGUAUUGAGCCUCGAAAUAUGUAAAAUCAGAGUGCAGAUGUAGUCGAAUAUGCAGAAUGCAAUAUUUAAUAUCGCGAUAUCGGGGAUGUAGUAUUAAAACUCUGCGGGGUCUAAGACC